UGACCCUAGGUUAAGUGGGAUUACUUGCUAAAUUUAAGCAUAUCAAUAUACAAAGGAAAGGAAACUUACUAAGAUUCCCCUACUAGUAACGAGCGAACUGGGAAAAACCUAGGUUGAGAAUCAAGUGCUCUUGGCAUUCAAAUUGUAGUCUACAAAAGCAUCUUUAGUGAUAGACCAAGCCUAAGUCCCCUAAAAGGGGCAUUAGAGAAGGUGAGGGCCCCAUUGUGCCUAGACCCUGUCAUACCAUAAAGCACUAUCUACGAGUCAGGUUAUUUGGGAAUAUAGCCCUAAUUAGGUGCUAAAUUCCAUCCAAGGCUGAAUAUGGGAGAAAGAUUGAUAACAAACAAAUACCAAAAAGGAAAGAUAAAAAAGACUUUGAAAAAAAAGUCAAAGAAUACUUGAAAUUGUUAGAAAGGAAGAGGGUAGGGGCCUAUGAUGUGGCCCAGUUAGAUGUGGAAUGGCAAAAGCUAAUCCAUUGAUCGAUUCGAGGCAUGGACCAAUAAAGGUCAGAAUAGCAACCUAAACUCAAGCUUUUGAUAUGCCUAUAGAGAUGUCAUUGCCACAAUCAUGGAAUGUAGCAUGCACCAUCUCAACAUGCCUCAGCAUCCAUUUGCUCUUGGCAUAGGCUUACGGGCUCUUUAUCUGGCCCAUCUUAAAAUAUAGACUAAGGAGUCUAACAUGUGUGCAAGUGAACAAGCUCGAAAACCCAUAAGGUGCACAGAAGCUGAUUGGUGGCAUCCCUCCUGAGUGCGCUGUCGAUUAACCUUAAUCUUCUUGAAAGAUUCAAGUGUGAGCAUGCCUAGGUAAGGUGAUGCCAGAGGAAACUCUGGUGGAGGUUUGAAACAAUACUGAUGUGUAAAUCAUUUAUCUGACUUAGGUAUAGGGGUGAAAGACUAAUUGAAUCAUCUAGUAGCUAGUUCCUUUUGAAGUUUUCCUCAAGAUAGUUAGAGCCCUUAACAAUUCUAUUAGGUAAAGCCAAUGAUUAAAGGCAUCAGGGUUGUAACACUUUUAAGCUAUUCUCAAACUUUAAAUAAGUAGGAUGGUGUGGCUGUUCAUUGAGCCAUGCCAUAAAAUUGAAAGCUCCAAGUAUGCCAUUUUUAGUAAGCAAAACUGGCAAUGUAGGAUGUACUACAAGCUGAGUUAUGGUGCCCAACUUCAUGCUUACCUAGAACCCACAAAGGGUAUUGGUCAAUUAAGACAAUAUGAUGGUGGUCAUGGAAGUUGAAAUUUGCUAAGAAGUGUGUAACAACUCACUUACCAAAUCAACUAGCUUCAAAAAUGGAUGGUGCUUAAGUGUGCUACCUAUAACUAGCCAUGGAGGCAAGGGCUAGGCCCCAAUGAGUAAGAAAGUAUAGCGAUCACCAUAAAACCUAAGCCAUGAGCUCGAGCAGAGCAGUCAUCAGUGUAGAUCAUGGUGGUAGUAGCAAAUAUUCAAAUGAGAACUUUGAAGGCCAAAGAAGGGAAAGGUUUUAUGUGAAUGGCACUUGCACAUAGGUUAGUCAAUCUUCAGAGAUGGGGGAAAUCAAUCCAAUAGCAUAUCUAGCAUGAGUUUCAAAAGGGAAUUAGGUUAAAAUUCUUGAAUAAGGACACAGUGGCUGACGACAACAUUAGAGAGUUUGGAGACAUUAAUGAAGUUCUUGGAAAGAGUCUUUUUUUUUGUUUAAUGGCCUACAUACCUUUAAAACAACUCAACUAGAGGUAAGGUGUAGAGGUCAAAAAAGCACAUGUCGUAUGGUGUUCGAUGUACCUUUAGUAACCCUUGAAAAUUUAGAGCACCGAGUGUCAUCCAUGCCUAGUCAUACUUAAAAUCGCAUUAGGUCUCUAAAGUGAAUAGCCUCUGGUCGAUGGAACAAUGUAGGUAAGGGAAGUUAGCAAAAUGGAUCCAUAACCACAAGAAAAGGAUUGGCUUUGAGGACUGGGUAUAGGGAUCCCAGUCUUGAACCCAUUAGUUGUCAAUGCAUUGUUAAGCUACUCUCAUAGCAAGAAUGGGUAGCUAUGUGCCAGUCGAGGGAUAGAUUGGGAAUGGCUCCCUCAGUGGUCUUCCCUAGGCAAUGAAUAGUUGACUUUGAACUAGUAUGGACAAAGGGAAUCUGAGUGUUUAAUUAAAACAAAGCAUUAUAAUGGUCCCUGCAAAUGCUCACGCAAUGUGAUUUUUGCCCAGUUCUCUGAAUGUCAAAGUGAAAAAAUUCAACCGAGUGUGGGUAAAUGAUAGGAGUAACUAUGAUUCUCUUAAGGUAACCAAAUGCCUCAUCAUCUAAUUAGUGAUGCAAAUGAAUGGAUUAACGAGAUUCCCAUUAUCCCUAUCUACUAUCUAGUGAAACCACACCCAAAGGAAUAGGCUUCGUAGAAUCAAUGGGGAAAAAAGAUUCUUGAGCAUGACUCUAGUCCAACUUUGUGAAAUGACUUAAGAGGUGUAGGAUAAGUGAGAGCCCUUGAGUGAAAUUGAAAUACCACUACUUUUAAUGUUAUUUUACUUAUUCUGUGAAUUGGAGGUGGGGCAUGACCCUUUUUUAAACCCAAAGCUAGCCUCGAUUAGUCGAUCUGGGUGAAAGACAUUGUUAGGCAGGGAGUUUGGCUAGGGCGGCACAUUUGUUAAAAGAUAACACAAAUGUCCUAAGAUGAGUACAACGAGAACAAAAAUCUCAUGUGGAACAAAAGGGUAAAUGCUUGUUUGAUUUUGAUUUCCAAUAUGAAUACAAACUGAGAAAGCAUGACCUAUUAAUCCUUUAGACUUUCAAAAUUUAAAGCUAGAGCUGUCAUAAAAGUUACCAUAAGGAUAACUGGCUUGUGGUAGCCAAGUGUUCACACAACAUUGCUUUUUGAUCAUUCGAUGUUGGCACUUCCUAUCAUUGUGAAGCAGAAUUCACCAAGUGUUGGAUUGUUCAACCACUAUUUAGGAAUGUGAGCUAGGUUUAGACCAUCAUAAGACAGGUUAGAUUUACACUACUGAUGUAGCAUCUCAAUAGUAAUUCAACAUAGUAUGAGAGGAAUAAUUGAUUCACAUAAUUGGUUAUCACAGUUGGUUGAAAAGCUAGUGGUGCAAAGCUAUCAUGCAUUGGAUUAUGAUUCAAUGCCUCUAUAUUUCAGAAUCUAGGCUAGAAGUGAUGCACAUGCCCGUUGCCUAAUUGUUGACCCAUAGUAAGGCCCAUGGCCCUUAAGGGCAUGUGUCAUAGGUGCAGCCCCUAUGAUGAACAAGUAGCAUGGGCCUCCUUAGAGCUCAAUUCCCACCUAG
rnacentral:rRNA from 1 species